rfam:Brachypodium distachyon strain Bd21 chromosome 3, whole genome shotgun sequence.
AUUGUACUCCCUCCGUCCAACAAAAGAUGUGUAAACUUUGACCAAAUUUGAACGUAUCCAUAUACUAAGUCAUGUUUAGAUGCGUUCAAAUUUUAACAAACUUGAGACAUCUUCUGUUGGACGGAGGAAAUACCAA